rnacentral:rRNA from 1 species
AUUGAACGCUGGCGGCAUGCCUUACACAUGCAAGUCGAACGGUAGAGUAGCAAUACUCGAGAGUGGCGAACGGGUGAGCAAUAUAUCGGAACGUGCCCAAUCGUGGGGGAUAACGUAGAGAAAUUUACGCUAAUACCGCAUACGAUCUAAGGAUGAAAGCGGGGGAUCGCAAGACCUCGCGCGAUUGGAGCGGCUGAUAU